rnacentral:rRNA from 1 species
UACGUAGGGUGCGAGCGUUAAUCGGAAUUACUGGGCGUAAAGCGUGCGCAGGCGGCUUUGCAAGACAGAUGUGAAAUCCCCCGGGCUCAACCUGGGAACUGCAUUUGUGACUGCAUGGCUAGAGUACGGUAGAGGGGGAUGGAAUUCCGCGUGUAGCAGUGAAAUCGUAGAUAUGCGGAGGAACACCGAUGGCGGAAGGCAAUCCC